GUGGGGAAUAUUGGACAAUGGGCGAAAGCCUGAUCCAGCCAUGCCGCGUGUGUGAAGAAGGUCUUCGGAUUGUAAAGCACUUUAAGUUGGGAGGAAGGGCAGUAAGUUAAUACCUUGCUGUUUUGACGUUACCGACAGAAUAAGCACCGGCUAACUUCGUGCCAGCAGCCGCGGUAAUACGAAGGGUGCAAGCGUUAAUCGGAAUUACUGGGCGUAAAGCGCGCGUAGGUGGUUCAGUAAGUUGGAAGUGAAAUCCCCGGGCUCAACCUGGGAACUGCUUUCAAAACUGCUGAGCUAGAGUACGGUAGAGGGUGGUGGAAUUUCCUGUGUAGCGGUGAAAUGCGUAGAUAUAGGAAGGAACACCAGUGGCGAAGGCGACCACCUGGACUGAUACUGACACUGAGGUGCGAAAGCGUGGGGAGCAAACAGGAUUAGAAACCCCGGUAGUCC
rnacentral:rRNA from 1 species